rnacentral:lncRNA from 1 species
UCCCAAUUUCACAAAUUUUGGACCAUAUAUAGUCAAAUAUGGACUUGAAACAAUAAAAACAACAACAGAUAAUUAAAAAAAUAAAACUACUUCAUAUGACAAGGCUCAACAAGGUUGCUUCAUAUACUUUAAGAGUAUUCUUGCAAAUAUAAAACAAUGAACUAAAAGUUAAUCGUGACUAAAGAACAUGAUAACAAAGUAAAUUAUUUGAAGUUAAUAUUUUCUCAAUUAAGAAGAGUUAGAGUGCAUCCACGCUGAAGUCUAAGACAUAAAUUCUUCAAUUCUUUCGCCUUGUACCAAUGACAUAGUCUCAAUCAUACUAAAAUUCUGGUUUUCAUUGUUUGUAUCAUUUCCAUUGUCAUCAUUUAGCUACUUUAUUUGGACAGAAAUUUGGAGUUUUGCAUGUUUCUAGCUACUUUAUUAAUAUGAAUUGAGAAAAAAAUUCAAAGAUCUAAUGUUUCUCCUGUAAGCUUUAUAGUUUAACCAUAUCUGCAAAGUGACUGAAAUAUUUAAAGGAUAGGCACUAGCAUAUACAAAGAGAUAUCUCAAAAAAGAAUGGAGGUGGUCAACAAAAUGAAUAGGCUAAAAAGAAGAAGAAAUUCUUUGACAGUGUCCAAGGAACCGACUCUAAUCAUCUUGACAACAAAGAUCAGCAAUAUUUCAGUCUCUAAUAGGUGCUGGUAAUAACUAUUUUCGUCUCUAACGAGUGCUCUUGAGACUACCAAUAUUUUAGCAAAAUCAGCAGCAAAGCAGAAAAUGGUUCUACAAAAUCGCCAAUCAAAUAAUAAACAGCUCAAACUGAAUAGAUUUAAAGCCUUUCACAAAUCAAAAUUGAUAGAAACUAAAAGACUGGUCUUAAAUCUGUCUUCAACAAAUUUCGUGGUUCAAGAAAUACAUGGAAUGGACAAUGAAUGUAAAUUAAUAAGAUGAUAAAAUCUGUCCAAUUCAAGUAAACACCAACUCAAGGGAAUAUAAAAUAUGAAAAAUUGUUAUGUAAAUUUAAUUCCAAUCCUAAAAGGGAAGAAUCCGAAGACACAGUCCCCUGCAAUUCUGAAAACCAACUAUAUCUUGUUCUAAAGACAUGAUUCACCACAGGAAUAUUUUUCCCCAUCUAUUAUGCUUUGUAAGAAUUUGAAAUUGCACAAGAACAACUAUAUAUUGUUCUAAAAAAUUUGAAAUCCACCACAAGAAUAUUUUUAACUAAUCAAUCAAAAUCUAUUUCUACUGGCUUCAUACUAACCUGUUCUUCUUCCAUCUCUUAAGACUUCAAAUUGGAGAUUUGGAUUUUUUGGGAGUAAUUGAAUAGCAAACAGCAGCAACCGAGUCGGUGUUUGGAAGGACGAAGAAGACUUACCUGGUAAUUUGAAUUGGGAAAUUGGAAAACACAGGUUUUAAAGCAAAAGAAAAAACCCGGUUGGUUCAAUUGCACAUGGGUCGACGGUUGGGCUAAAAACCCGCCGAUUUGACAGGUUUCCAACGGGUGGUUUGUCCACCUUUAAAUUUGUCUGACUCGGACCGGACCUGGGUCCAAUUCGACAGUUCUCAGGUUGAACCGACCGGUCCGGUCUAGGUUUUAUAACUAUGUGUAAAACAAUGCCAAACGAACAUUAAAAAACAAUUUUAUUUCAAUAUUUUUCACAUGAAAAAUUAUAU